ensembl:lncRNA
CACAGACUGUCCCUCCUCUGUAGAUGGUUACUAUUUAUGUCUAUACCAUUAAUAGUUGGAAGGAAAUCUAUAUCAAAGCUUCACUUUUUAGGUCUCCCCUUCUAUGUUCAACUCUACUGUGAUCUGAAUGAAAAGAGACUGAAAUCACAGAAGUUGCCACAGCGCAGGAUUGUCAGCCCUGUCCAUGCAGGUGCUGGCACAGCAAGAGAAAAUUCCAGUUCAGCUCAGUGCUGGUGUAGCUCUGGGGUGUGCAUGUGCAGGAAGGUGUCACGCUUUGCAAAACCAUGUACAAGUUUUAAAAGCUGAAGCAUUUGAGUUGAUUUGUGCAGAGAGGAGGUGGGAAACAGCACAGCAAAGGGAGAUCAUCCAUCAACACUAAGCAAAGCCCCUGCACUCAGGGAUGUCUUUAUCAGAUGGGAUUCCAUCUCCUGAAAGCCAAAGCAAGGGCAGGGCAAGCUGACCAUCUGUGCAGAAUGCUUUCCUCCAUGAAAGGCAAGUAUGAAUGUAUAAUAAAAGAUUUUCU